CGAUUGGGCAGCAGUGGGGAAUAUUGGACAAUGGGGGAAACCCUGAUCCAGCCAUGCCGCGUGAGUGAAGAAGGCCUUCGGGUUGUAAAGCUCUUUCGUGAGGGAAGAAAAGGUUCAGGCGAAUAACUUGGAUUGAUGACGGUACCUCAAGAAGAAGCACCGGCUAACUACGUGCCAGCAGCCGCGGUAAUACGUAGGGUGCGAGCGUUAAUCGGAAUUACUGGGCGUAAAGCGUGCGCAGGUGGUUUGUUAAGACAGAUGUGAAAGCCCCGAGCUUAACUUGGGAACUGCGUUUGAAACUGGCAAGCUAGAGUCUGUCAGAGGGGGGUAGAAUUCCACGUGUAGCAGUGAAAUGCGUAGAGAUGUGGAGGAAUACCAAUGGCGAAGGCAGCCCCCUGGGAUAAGACUGACGCUCAUGCACGAAAGCGUGGGGAGCAAACAGGAUUAGAUACCCUGGUAGUCCACGCCCUAAACGAUGUCAACUGGUUGUUGGGCAACUUGAUUGUUCAGUAACGAAGCUAACGCGAGAAGUUGACCGCCUGGGGAGUACGGUCGCAAGAUUAAAACUCAAAGGAAUUGACGGGGACCCGCACAAGCGGUGGAUGAUGUGGAUUAAUUCGAUGCAACGCGAAAAACCUUACCCUACCCUUGACAUGUACGGAAGUCUGCUGAGAGGUGGAUGUGCCUGAAAGGGAACCGUAACCCAGGUGCCUGCAUGGCUGUCGUCACUCCUUGUCGUGAGAUGUUGGG
rnacentral:rRNA from 1 species